UGUGUGCGUGUGUGUCUGUGUGUACGUGUGUGUGCGUGUGUGUGUGUGUGUGUGUGUGUGUGUGUGUCUAGUGGGAGGACUCUCUCUCGUCUCUGAGUCUUUUCUCUCGGUGAGUUGUCGGAGUUUCUUUUGGUGACCAAACUGCACAGAUGACGACUGAGGUCAGAUAAUCGAUCACAUAUUGAUAACAGGAUCAGGUCAGAUAGUCGAUCACAUAUUGAUAACAGGAUCAGGUCAGAUAAUCGAUCACAUAUUGAUAACAGGAUCAGGUCAGAUAAUCGAUCACAUAUUGAUAACAGGAUCAGGUCAGAUAAUCGAUCACAUAUUGAUAACAGGAUCAGGUCAGAUAAUCGAUCACAUAUUGAUAACAGGAUCAGGUAAGAUAAUCGAUCACAUAUUGAUAACAGGAUCAGGUCAGAUAAUCGAUCACAUAUUGAUAACAGGAUCAGGUCAGAUAAUCGAUCACAUAUUGAUAACAGGAUCAGGUCAGAUAAUCGAUCACAUAUUGAUAACAGGAUCAGGUCAGAUAAUCGAUCACAUAUUGAUAACAGGAUCAGGUCAGAUAAUCGAUCACUGUUCUCUUGAAGCUCACGAGCUGCUCGUGAAGUAUCGAUCUCAGUAGAAACCAAGCAGACGGUGCGUUCAUGGACACUAAGGAAGUCCGGGGCACACGUUGACUCCCAUUUCAACAUAUACAUAUUAACUACAUAUACAAUCUAAAUGUAGAAGUACUCAGAUUAGUAGUAUAACUGUGAAACAAGUCCUGCAUUCAAAAUCAUGACCUUAUAUAUUCUAUAAUGUAAUAUAUUAGUUUAUUAAUAAUCGGAAUAUAUGCAAAGAGCUAAAGCUGUCAGAUAAAUGUAGAGCAGUAGAAAGUAAAUGUUUAAUUUGAGAUGUAGAAGAGUAUAAUUUCUAAAGUGAAAUACUAGUACCUCAAAAGUAAGUGGAGUACUUGAGUACAUGUACUGCCUCUGUACGUGAAAUCAGAUUUAAUGUUGAAUCAGAAGCUUUUUAAAGUGUGAAACAUUCAACGUGUUGAGCAAAGGGUUCCAGUUCAGAUUAACGACUGGUCCCAGUUCAGUUCACACCUUCAGCAAACAAUCCUGCUCAGAACAGGAAUUACAAGGCUGUACAAAGACUGCUUUUAUUUUGAAAGGUCAACAGAGAAAACAUGACUUUAUUCAAACAAAAUACUUUUUAAAUGUUAACUUUUAUUUACUUAAAUGACCGUUUUGCGUCUAUUUUCACAUCGUUUCACUAUAAGCCACGCCCACUACGAUGACGUCACAUCGAUUAAACCAACAGGAAGAUUUGUGGAGAAAUCUUAUGAUUUAAUAAACAAUGUUCCACAAAGUCAAAGCAGGCUGAUAUAUACAUAUAUAUAUAUAUAUGUAUAUAUAUAUAUAUAUAUAUAUAUACAUAUAUAUAUAUAUAUAUAUAUAUAUAUAUAUAUAUAUAUAUAUAUGUAUAUAUAAACACAUUCACCACAAACUUAACUCCUCGCACUUUAAUCUGAAGAUCUGAGGCUGAGAACCUUAAAUGUUUGUGAAGACUUUGACUCAGGAGGUCUGAGGUCUGAGAGCCGGUCUGGGAUCAGCAGGUUUCUGUUGGAUAGCGUCUGAGCUGCCGCCCUGUUGCGCAAGACAGUUCUGAGUCCUCAGAGGUCUGACCUCCGUGAAACAGCCUGAGGCCCCCCCCCCCCCCUCCGGGGGCCCAUUCUUCUCUUAUCAUCUCAGAGUUUGAGGGAGGAACUUCUCUCAGGUUUCAUCUGUGAGCCGGGACGACGUUUGGGAGACUCUGGAUCUGAAGGUUCAGCCAAAGUUUGACACCUUCUGGGGCCAAACGUGAGGCUUUGAGGGCCACGGAGGACAUGUGGGGAGAAUGGAACAUUAGUUUUGACAACGUUUGGGUUUUUGGACCUUUAUAAGCAAAGCAGAUUUUGUAGAUUAAAGAUAAAUUAAUUAUCCUCUGGUUGUAUAGAAGUCUAUGCUUCAUGUGUUAAAGCUGCAUUCUCUCUCCUAACCACCAGGGGGCGACUCCUCUGGUUGUAU